AUGACUAUUACAAAGUUUGAAAAAAAAAAAGUACAAGCCCAAAACCUGAAAUUCAUACACAGGAGGAUGUUUAAAUGUGAAAAGCACAAGGGAAAAGCAGGAGCUGAAGACUUUUUUCCUAAAGAAAAUGCCCAAACUACAAAUUCUGAGAGCAGGAGGUUCCAUCUCCCUACAGAUCAGACGCUCAGAGAAUGAACCUGCCUGUGUUUUUUACGUGGUGCCUGUGGUACAACUAAGAGUCAUUCAGCUAUUUUGUGCUAGUUGUAAGAACAGGUGUGAUGUAAAAAGAAAUAAAAUUAUGGAGGCAGAAACUGGCUUCAGGAGGACUGUCACUGUGUCACGUAGCUUCAUUGUGCAGAGUUGCUAUACGUGAAAGCCGCUUGUUUGCAAAGUAAUGGGGAGAAAUAUCUCCUCUCUUGCUUUGGUAGUGGAGAGCAUGCAGACUAGCAGACAAAGAAGUCAGCUGGUCACUUCAGCUUUGCAGAUCUGGUGAUCUCACCCUCUCCUCCCACUAUUACAGAGUAAAGAGCUGCUACAGUUUGACUGAUUGGUUUCAUUUUAUUGCCUCGUCUCCUGACAUAUGAGAGAAAAUAACAUCCAGUUCUUGGCCGCUUAAAUUAAUUUUGAAUUAUUGGACACAAGCCAGAUGAUGAUGACAGUGCUUGGGAUAUUCUUCUCCCUAUAGAAAAAAAGAAAACAGUGCUGGACAGUUACAUUAGAGCUUUUUAGCAAGGCAUUAAUAAAUCAUGGGAAGAUUUCUGAUACUGAUGAUUGCUCACAAGCGAUACUUUAGACCUCAGGUUCCCAAAAAAGAACCAGGUGCCUAAAACCAUAUAUUUCAAUGAUUUCUUUUGAAUCGAGA